rnacentral:rRNA from 1 species
UACAGAGGGUGCAAGCGUUAAUCGGAAUUACUGGGCGUAAAGCGUGCGUAGACGGUUAUUUAAGUCAGGUGUGAAAGCCCCGGGCUCAACCUGGGAACUGCGUUUGAUACGGAUGGGCUAGAGUUCGGGAGAGGAGAGUGGAAUUCCCAGUGUAGAGGUGAAAUUCGUAGAUAUUGGGAAGAACACCGGUGGCGAAGGCGGCUCUCUGGACCGAGACUGACGCUGAGGCGCGAAAGCGUGGGGAGCAAACAGG